ensembl:lncRNA
GUGGGUUGCCUUUUCCUUCUCCAGAACCUGAUAAGAGAACCAAAUGGCCAGGUGCCCUGGGCUGGCACAGGGAGGCAGUGACCUUGGCUUUUGGCCUGCACAGUCAGCAGAGCCCGCCCACGUGCACUGGGUGCAGGGAGCAGAAAUCAGUGGCCAGACGGAAGCCUGGAAGGGAGGCGAGGCACACCCCCCACCCCUGCCUCCUGAGGGCCUGGGGCUGGCCCCACGCAGGGGUCCCUGUGCCCACUCUCCCCAAUGGCAAGGAGCUCCCUCCAAGGGGCCCGUAUAGUGAAAGAAGAGACUUCUCCUGGUCAGAUACAAAGAUUUACCCAGGAGAAGGCAUAGCUGGAGUCCUGGUCUGUCCCUGUCCAGUACGUGUGUGUGUCGUGUGCUCGGCAGCCCUGAGGCCCGAGGGAGGGCAGCCAUGUGCCAGGCGUGUGCCAGGGGGCCCCCGAGCCCAGAGCCGGUCUGGGAAGAGGCCCUGUAGCCCCUGGAGUGACAAGCAGAGCUUGUCUCUGUGGGUCACCAGAAACAGUGACGGGGGGGCGGUCUCCACUGGGCCAGGGCUGGGCCCCUCUCUCCCAACCUGUUCUCGGGCCCCCUGGCUGCCCCGGAGGGAAAAGCAGGGAGAAGGAAGCCGCUUGCUUCUUCCCUGGAACCUGAGUCACUCGGGUGUGGAACAGCUUCCAGAAGCUUUGGCCGGCCUCCGGCCUCACUCCCGUGCAGCCCUCUUGAGUCAGUCGGACCCUGUCCGCUGUCUAUGCCCUUGGCCCAGCAUUACACUACAUGGCCCAUUUGCCCCCUGCUGGGCGGGGCUGAUCGCCUGCGCCCCCAGGGAAGUGGCCCGUGUGUCUCAGGCCACACUGAAAGCCUGUUCCCUAUACCAGUUUCUCAUCCACGGACUUUGCUCGGGUGGCCGUGACAUAACACUUCAGAAGGUGCUUUCGGCGAAAAGAGGACGUGCCAGCCUGUGUGCAGAGCGGCCGGGGCAGCAGGCCUUCAGGUGCAGCUUGAUCCAGGUGUCAGUCUGCUGCACACGCUCUGUCCCUUUCUCAGCUUUACUUCCCACUCUUUGGCUCUGCUCUCGGGGCGUAUAUGGCCCAGGUGGCCGCCUGGGUUCAGGUCUCAGAGCAGGGGAAAGAAACCCAGUUCUCUCUCUCCUGAAAGCUCCAGAGAGUCACACUGGCUUCACUGACUGUCACUGGCUUACCCUUUAUUAUGAGUUGACUUGUGCCCCCUCAGAAAGGUAUGUUGAAACCCUAGCCCAGUACCUGCAGAUCUGACCUUAUUUGGAACUGGGUUUUUGCAGUCGAUAUGAUCAAGCUAAGAUGAGGUCAUCAGGGUGGGCCGCAGUCCAACCGCCUAAAGCGCAGGUGAGGGAGCCACAUGGAGAGGCCACAUGAGGGGCAGACACCCGGGACGCAGCGGCUGGGACUGCAGCUGCGCCCCUGCAGGCGGGGAGCGAGCCAGCCGCUGCAAGAGGCCAGGAAGGGAUCAGAGGUCCAGACAGAGGUGGCCCUGCUGACCCCACGGCUUCCGGCCCCAGCCUCCAGGACUGGGAGUCCUUCCCGGUUACUCCCAGCAGCCUGCUUUGUGGGCCUUUGUUUCGGCUGCCCCAAGGGAGCCGGUCCAUCCUGAGUCAGCAUACCGGAUGCCCGGCCAGAAGGUGGGAGGGGGGCGGCCCCCAGCAGGGGACAGGAGUGCACUGACCUGUGAGCAGGAGGCUGACCCAGACAUGGGCAGGACCCCGAGGGCGGAGCCGUGGAAGGGGCGCCGCAUCUCGAGUCUGGGGGUGGGGCUCAAGGUUACAGACGAGGUCACAGGCCAAAACUGUUACACGUCUCACACACCUACUUUGUGGCUCAAGUCUUACCGGUUAGACAACUACAGUUACAAAACUUCAGAGGCUUCUUCAGGCUUCGGAGAGCAGAGGACACCACUAGAGAGUCCAAAUCCACAUUUGUGUGAUUGGACAGUGAGGCCAGCAGGCCCCUGGCACGUCCAUGUGCCUCCAGGGAGCCCUGCUGCCCUGCGUCGGGGCUAGUCUCCACCAGGCUCCCACAGGCGGCCCUCUGCCUUGCUCUCUGAAUCCCCCCGCCUUCUCCUUCCCCCGUGGCCUGGCACCUGCUGCCCCUUGUGUGCCCACAUGCCCCUCGUUACCCUCCCUCCACCCUCUGGAAGGGGCCAGCAGGGGGCCACUGCCCACCACCUCAGCCUCGUGACACCGGACUCCCAUGAGGCCUGCGUGGCCAGACCCUGGGGUCCCGUGACGCCCUGGGCCUGAGACAGGAGGGGAGACCGCCCGCUGGAGGCGGGACAUGAGCCGCCCUUCAUCCCAAGAAAAUGCCAAGCGCUUGGGGGCCUUUCCUGGGGUCCAGAGCGCUGCCUGCUGAGAUGAUUUCAAACCGAGGUGCCCAUGUCACGGCCAAGCAGGAGCCGCACCGGCCCCCUGCAGGGGCCCAGCAGUGGCCCCCAGAGGCACAGCCAAGGCACAGCUCGGCAUCACAGUCCCUGAAGCGGGCGCUGCCCUUGGGGACGGGGUGGGUCUCAAGCCCGUAGCCCUGGUGCCCGAACUGCUGCGGCCCCAGCUUGGGGAGCGGGGGUCUGUGCAGGCAGAGGUGGCAGCACCCGGGCCCUCUCUGCCUCGCUCUGCACCCUGGCCCCAGAGGCUCCCCCCACAUGCAGUGGGCGUCCGGCCCGGCCAGGGCUGCCAGAUGGCCCUGGUGACUCCAGGCUCCACGUGCCGGUGGACCAGCAGGCACUCUGUCCAGCCGUCGACCUGACCGCCACAAAGAGUUUGGGGCGCCACUCAGAGGCCUUGGGUGUUUAGCAGUGACCCAGGCCCCCCGUGCGUGCACAGCCAGCUCACCCGCCCCCAGGUCCAGGCCUGAACCCUGGGCAGCGAGCGGCCAGCAGACGGGAGGUGGAAGGAGGAGGAGUCUCGGGGCCAGCUGGGGCCUCUCGAGGGCCUUUCUCUUUCUCUGGAAAUCACAGCAGCCCCGGCCCAGCUCUGGUCUUGAGUGGGCAGUGGGCAGCCUGCAUGUGGGGAGCGAGUGGACCUGAGCCAGCGAGCGGCCUCUUCCCACAGACCUCACCAUGAGGGGUCUCCUGGCCACUGGGGAUGCACAUGGCCCAUGCGCACAGACAUACUGCUCUCACCCAGAUCCCCGCCUCGGACUCUCUUCCCAGAAGCCCAGCCCAGGGCCCAGGUCUCCUCCUCACGUGGACACACAUGUGGACGCACAUGGCAGCCAGUGCGACACAGCCGUUCUCGAGGAAGAGCCUGUCGCUUUCUUUUUUUGUGUGUGUGUGUGUAAUAAAGC